rnacentral:tRNA from 1 species
GGGCAAUUAGCUCAGUUGGUUAGAGCACAAGCAUCACACGCUUGGGGUCACAGGUUCGAAUCCUGUAUUGCCCA